rfam:Myotis lucifugus cont2.4375, whole genome shotgun sequence.
AGACACCCUUAUGAGGCUAGACUUGCUUCAGUGGGGCUUUGGUGCUCACUGAGUCUGCCCCCUGAGUGUGUCCCU